ACUCUGGAAAAAACAUUUUAAAAAAUUGUCGCUUGGGCAAUUAAGGUACAAUAAAAGGACUCCUCUGAUCUGACUGGUGUACAGUUAACAUUUCGCAUUCCAGCAGGACAAUUUACCAGAAACUUGCACAGACAAGACAGAGACCGUGAAACAUGAAGGCUGUUAUUUUUGCUGUUUUUGUGCUGCUGCUCAUCAGCCAAAAUGAAGCCUUGAGGUGUCACUGUGGUGGUAAAAGACGAUGUCCAAGUUCUAUAGAGACCUGCAUCACCUCUGACAGUGUCUGCAUCAGUGCCAACUUUUACGGCGUACCACAGCCCUUUUACUUCAGGGGUUGCUACAGGGAAAGCGACUGCAGGAAGGUGAACUAUCCCGGCCUGUCAUCUGCCAGCUGCUGCAGCACCGACCUCUGCAACUGAUUCAAACUGAGAACGAUUUAAACUGAAAAUACACUUCGAUUGAUUGUGUGUUUGUGCAAUAUCACAAUAAAACUCAGUUCUACUAUCA